rnacentral:rRNA from 1 species
UACGUAGGGUGCGAGCGUUGUCCGGAAUUACUGGGCGUAAAGAGCUCGUAGGCGGUUUGUCGCGUCUGCUGUGAAAUCUGGAGGCUCAACCUCCAGCCUGCAGUGGGUACGGGCAGACUAGAGUGCGGUAGGGGAGAUUGGAACUCCUGGUGUAGCGGUGGAAUGCGCAGAUAUCAGGAAGAACACCGAUGGCGAAGGCAGAUCUCUGGGCCGUAACUGACGCUGAGGAGCGAAAGCAUGGGGAGCGAACAGG